rnacentral:rRNA from 1 species
CUGGAAAGUUUUUCGGUUGAAGAUGACCUCGCGGCCUAUCAGCUUGUUGGUGAGGUAAUGGCUCACCAAGGCGACGACGGGUAGCCGGCCUGAGAGGGCGACCGGCCACACUGGGACUGAGACACGGCCCAGACUCCUACGGGAGGCAGCAGUGGGGAAUAUUGGGCAAUGGAGGAAACUCUGACCCAGCGACGCCGCGUGCGGGAUGAAGGCCUUCGGGUUGUAAACCGCUUUCAGCAGGGAAGAAGCGAAAGUGACGGUACCUGCAGAAGAAGCACCGGCUAACUAUGUGCCAGCAGCCGCGGUAAUC